rnacentral:misc_RNA from 1 species
GAUGAAGAACGUAGCGAAAUGCGAUAAGUAAUGUGAAUUGCAGAAUUCAGUGAAUCAUCGAAUCUUUGAACGCACAUUGCGCCCGCCAGUAUUCUGGCGGGCAUGCCUGUUCGAGCGUCAUUUCAACCAUCAAGCCCUGCUUGCGUUGGGGUCCUGCGGCUGCCCGCAGGCCCUGAAAAGCAGUGGCGGGCUCGCUGUCACACCGAGCGUAGUAGCAUACAUCUCGCUCUGGGCGUGCUGCGGGUUCCGGCCGUUAAACCACCUUCAUAACCCAAGGUUGACCUCGGAUCAGGUAGGAAGACCCGCUGAACUUAAGCAUAUCAAUAAGCGGAGGA